rnacentral:lncRNA from 1 species
UGAAUGCACCGGUACAAAUGAAAACUAGAUGAGGUUAGCACCCCGAAAUAAAUGAAAGAAUUGAAAACAAGAAUUUGUGAGAUAACUUCAGCACUCCGGAUAGACUAGAGAGAAAUGAACAACAGGAUAGGCUGAAAAAAUCUCCAACAUGAAAAAGAAUUACAAGGAUAAUUAGGAUAUGAUGAACACGGAUAGCUGAAUUAAAUUCACCGGUAAGGAUGACAAGAAUGAACAAAUAUGACAC